rnacentral:rRNA from 1 species
UACAGAGGGUGCGAGCGUUGUUCGGAAUUACUGGGCGUAAAGGGCGCGUAGGCGGUUUAACAAGUCUGUUGUGAAAGCCCGGGGCUUAACCUCGGAAGUGCAGUGGAAACUGUUAGACUAGAGUACAGUAGAGGUUGGUGGAAUACCCAGUGUAGAGGUGAAAUUCGUAGAUAUUGGGUGGAACACCGGUGGCGAAGGCGGCCAACUGGGCUGUAACUGACGCUGAGGCGCGAAAGCGUGGGGAUCAAACAGG